rnacentral:tRNA from 1 species
GAGGCUGUGGCUCAGGGGCAGAGCGCUCGCCUGGGGCGCACGAGGCCCUGGGUUCGAUCCUCGGCAGCCCA